rnacentral:sRNA from 1 species
GUCUAGCCCCGAUGGAAGCGAUAUCCUUUUUACUGCUUCUUUAGCAGGAAAAAGAUAUAGCGUACAGCGGGACGAGUG